GUAUUUGUGGCCUAGUGGUUAACGCUUUUGCUUAUAAAAUUUUUGUCGCGGGUUCAAACCCCAUUAGCGCCAAAUCCU